rnacentral:rRNA from 1 species
GGGUUGUGAGGUUAAGCGACUAAGCGUACACGGUGGAUGCCCUGGCAGUCAGAGGCGAUGAAGGACGUGCUAAUCUGCGAUAAGCGUCGGUAAGGUGAUAUGAACCGUUAUAACCGGCGAUUUCCGAAUGGGGAAACCCAGUGUGAUUCGUCACACUAUCAUUAACUGAAUCCAUAGGUUAAUGAGGCGAACCGGGGGAACUGAAACAUCUAAGUACCCCGAGGAAAAGAAAUCAACCGAGAUUCCCCCAGUAGCGGCGAGCGAACGGGGAGCAGCCCAGAGCCUGAAUCAGUGUGUGUGUUAGUGGAAGCGUCUGGAAAGGCGCGCGAUACAGGGUGACAGCCCCGUACACAAAAAUGCACAUGCUGUGAGCUCGAUGAGUAGGGCGGGACACGUGGUAUCCUGUCUGAAUAUGGGGGGACCAUCCUCCAAGGCUAAAUACUCCUGACUGACCGAUAGUGAACCAGUACCGUGAGGGAAAGGCGAAAAGAACCCCGGCGAGGGGAGUGAAAAAGAACCUGAAACCGUGUACGUACAAGCAGUGGGAGCACGCUUAGGCGUGUGACUGCGUACCUUUUGUAUAAUGGGUCAGCGACUUAUAUUCUGUAGCAAGGUUAACCGAAUAGGGGAGCCGAAGGGAAACCGAGUCUUAACUGGGCGUUAAGUUGCAGGGUAUAGACCCGAAACCCGGUGAUCUAGCCAUGGGCAGGUUGAAGGUUGGGUAACACUAACUGGAGGACCGAACCGACUAAUGUUGAAAAAUUAGCGGAUGACUUGUGGCUGGGGGUGAAAGGCCAAUCAAACCGGGAGAUAGCUGGUUCUCCCCGAAAGCUAUUUAGGUAGCGCCUCGUGAAUUCAUCUCCGGGGGUAGAGCACUGUUUCGGCAAGGGGGUCAUCCCGACUUACCAACCCGAUGCAAACUGCGAAUACCGGAGAAUGUUAUCACGGGAGACACACGGCGGGUGCUAACGUCCGUCGUGAAGAGGGAAACAACCCAGACCGCCAGCUAAGGUCCCAAAGUCAUGGUUAAGUGGGAAACGAUGUGGGAAGGCCCAGACAGCCAGGAUGUUGGCUUAGAAGCAGCCAUCAUUUAAAGAAAGCGUAAUAGCUCACUGGUCGAGUCGGCCUGCGCGGAAGAUGUAACGGGGCUAAACCAUGCACCGAAGCUGCGGCAGCGACGCUUAUGCGUUGUUGGGUAGGGGAGCGUUCUGUAAGCCUGUGAAGGUGU